GGCUGGGUGCUCAGGAGGCAGUCUGAGCUGACGGCAGAGGUGGGGGCCGGGUUGGGGGAAGCCAUCUGGCCCGCUGCUGUCAUCUUCACUCAUGUGCCUCCCGAGUCCAGAUCCCCGGCUGACCAGGGACACCUGCCUCUCCCACUUACAGUAAUUCCCCUCCCUGCCCCCAGCCCAAGGUUGGUGGCACAGAGCCGGCGGCCAGCAGGCAGCCAGGUGCACACCCAGCCGAGCCCCUGGAACAGGAGGCCCUGCUUCCCAGGGCCUCCCCUCCUUCCACCAGGGCUCACACUGGCCACCCCGGCCUCCCCCAUCGCAGCCACCUCCGUGGGACUCCCUGUGCCCUGAACACCUACUCCCCAUGAGGCAACAGUGUCUGGGCAGCCGGGGGAGAUACAGAACCAGCUCCUCCUUCAUCUAGGGAUCUCUCAAGGCCUGAAGGGGGCUGUGGUUCCGAGACAGCCCUCCGUUCUGGGAAAGGAAAAAGGCAAUCACAGGUCCCUGGCCAGGGUGCCAGGGUGAACUCCAGCUCUCUCAGCUACCAGCACUCCCACGCUCCUGUGGGUGUGAUGGAGAGCAGGGAGUGAAGGUGGCAGGAGAGACAGGGAGGGGAGAAGUCGAGAACACCUGGAGGGCUUCCAGCCCCUCACAGAAGGCAAAAUCAGGCUUCAGACCUGCCCUGGCCCACAGGCUACACCCGCUUGCCAGAACGACACUGUCAUCUUCCCACACCCCGGAAACAGGUCUGCGACCAAAAUUCCCUCUGCGAGCACUGACUGAGGGCCUACUGUGAGCCAGGCAGUGAGCCAUGAACCACAGGAGAUCUGAGAAGGAGCAAACCUACAUCUCCGGGCCCCAGGAGGUUCCGAUGGGGGAAUGAAUCAAGCUCCACAGGACUAAUGCUGUUUACUCGGCUGUCUCAAUCUCGGCAGUCUUCAGUCUCCCAAACAGAGCUCAGCACUAAUCUCCGUGAUUUACGAAGCGAGAGGCUGGUAAUCAACUCCCGAAGGAGGAGAGUUUGGUAAUCCUCUGGUGUCUGCUUCCAGAUUUCUCUGCACGUCGCCAGAGAUCAGAACUAGCCCGGCGGGCCCUCCCCCUGGGGCCGGGACCGGAACGCCAGGCCGGAAGGAACAGGGCUGGGCCCCGCCGCAACACUGCAGCCCGGGCCGUACCCCACGCCAUUCUCCCGGGGGCGGCCGCGCUACCGCGCGCCGGGCCGGGCUGGGCCGGGCUGGGCCGGGCUGGGCCGGGUGGGGCCCGGGGAAGCCGCUACGUCACGAAGCGGACGGGAGGGAGCCCGCGCCGCUCCAGCCAGGCUUCCAUUACGUCACCCGGCGGCCCGGAGCCGCCGCGGGGUAGACUCCGCCGCAAACCAUUGGCUACCUUGCGGCCC